rnacentral:rRNA from 1 species
GGAAGGAGAAGUCGUAACAAGGUUUCCGUAGGUGAACCUGCGGAAGGAUCAUUGUCGAGACCGAAACUAUAUCGAGCGAUUCGGAGAACCUGUGAAAUAAGCGGCGGCGGCAGUCGCCGCGAAACAGCCGUCCCCGCCGUCGCCCCCACCCUGUCUGGAGGGGGCCGCGACGGGGGACGGCUGAAACCCCAAACCGGCGCAGAUUGGCGCCAAGGUAACUAUCGAAAAGCACGAGCCCGGCAUCGGGUCUUCGUGGGGCGGAGCGGUGUUGCGCACCGCACGUAUUGACACGACUCUCGACAAUGGAUAUCUCGGCUCUCGCAUCGAUGAAGAGCGCAGCGAAAUGCGAUACGUGGUGCGAAUUGCAGAAUCCCGCGAACCAUCGAGUCUUUGAACGCAAGUUGCGCCCGAGGCCAAUCGGUCGAGGGCACGUCCGCCUGGGCGUCAACCGUCGCGUCGCUCCGUGCCGAGUCCCCACCGUUCCCACCGCAGUGGGGGUGCCGGGCGAGGCUCGGAUGUGCAGAGUGGCCCGUCGUGCCCAUCGGUGCGGCGGGCUGAAGAGCGGGUUAUCUUCUCAUUGGCCACGAACAACGAGGGGUGGAUGAAAGCUGCCGCGGGCAAGGCCCGCGUUGUCUCGUGCCGGCCCGAGUGAAGGUCACACCCUUCGUGCGAUCCCAUCCCACGCGCCGCCCCCGUGCGGCAGCUUGGAACGCGACCCCAGGAUGGGCGAGACCACCCGCCGAGUUUAAGCAUAUCAAUAAGCGGAGGAAAAG